GACGAACCGUCCAAACGUUAUUCGGAAUCACUGGGCUUACAGAGUUCGUAGGCGGUCCCAAAAGUUAGGUGUGAAAUCCCUCGGCUCAACCGAGGAACUGCGCUUAAAACUGUGGGACUCGAGGGAGAUAGAGGAAAGCGGAACUGAUGGUGGAGCGGUGAAAUGCGUUGAUAUCAUCAGGACACCGGUGCGAGGCGGCUUACUGGUCGUUCCU
rnacentral:rRNA from 1 species